rnacentral:rRNA from 1 species
GACGAACGCUGGCGGCGUGCUUAACACAUGCAAGUCGAACGGAAAGGCCCUGCUUUUGUGGGGUGCUCGAGUGGCGAACGGGUGAGUAACACGUGAGUAACCUGCCCUUGACUUUGGGAUAACUUCAGGAAACUGGGGCUAAUACCGGAUAGGAGCUCCUGCUGCAUGGUGGGGGUUGGAAAGUUUCGGCGGUUGGGGAUGGACUCGCGGCUUAUCAGCUUGUUGGUGGGGUAGUGGCUUACCAAGGCUUUGACGGGUAGCCGGCCUGAGAGGGUGACCGGCCACAUUGGGACUGAGAUACGGCCCAGACUCCUACGGGAGGCAGCAGUGGGGAAUAUUGCACAAUGGGCGGAAGCAUGAUGCAGCAACGCCGCGUGCGGGAUGACGGCCUUCGGGUUGUAAACCGCUUUCGCCUGUGACGAAGCGUGAGUGACGGGAAUGGGUAAAGAAGCACCGGCUAACUACGU